rnacentral:rRNA from 1 species
GACGAGGGGGGCAAGUGUUCUUCGGAAUGACUGGGCGUAAAGGGCACGUAGGCGGUGAAUCGGGUUGAAAGUGAAAGUCGCCAAAAAGUGGCGGAAUGCUCUCGAAACCAAUUCACUUGAGUGAGACAGAGGAGAGUGGAAUUUCGUGUGUAGGGGUGAAAUCCGUAAAUAUACGAAGGAACACCAAUUGCGAAGGCAGCUUGCUGGGACGGUACUGACGCUGAGGCGCGAAAGCGUGGGGAGCAAACAGG